AGUGAAUAGAUACCCCGGUAGUCCACGCCGUAAACGUUGGGCGCUAGGUGUGGGGAACCUUCCACGUUCUCCGUGCCGUAGCUAAACGCAUUAAAGCGCCCCGCCUGGGGAGUACGGCCGCAAGGCUAAAACUCAAAGGAAUUGACGGGGGCCCGCACAAGCGGCGGAGCAUGUUGCUUAAUUCGAUGCAACGCGAAGAACCUUACCUAGGCUUGACAUAUACCGAAAACUCAUAGAGAUAUGGGGUCCGCAAGGGCGGUAUACAGGUGGUGCAUGGUUGUCGUCAGCUCGUGUCGUGAGAUGUUGGGUUAAGUCCCGCAACGAGCGCAACCCUCGUCCUAUGUUGCCAGCGCGUUAUGGCGGGGACUCAUAGGAGACUGCCGGGGUCAACUCGGAGGAAGGUGGGGAUGACGUCAAAUCAUCAUGCCCCUUAUGUCUAGGGCUGCAAACAUGCUACAAUGGUCGGUACAAAGGGCUGCGAUACCGCAAGGUGGAGCGAAUCCCAAAAAGCCGGCCUCAGUUCGGAUUGGGGUCUGCAACUCGACCCC
rnacentral:rRNA from 1 species